CAAAAAUUAGUUAAAUUAAAAUAACAUUAAUUUGUCAAAUUAAAAUUAUUAAUUAGUUAAUAUUUUUGA
rnacentral:tRNA from 1 species